rnacentral:rRNA from 1 species
AUUGAACGCUGGCGGCAUGCCUUACACAUGCAAGUCGAACGGCAGCACGGGAGCAAUCCUGGUGGCGAGUGGCGAACGGGUGAGUAAUAUAUCGGAACGUGCCCAGUCGUGGGGGAUAACGUAGCGAAAGCUACGCUAAUACCGCAUACGACCUAUGGAUGAAAGCGGGGGAUCGCAAGACCUCGCGCGAUUGGAGCGGCCGAUAUCAGAUUAGGUAGUUGGUGAGGUAAAGGCUCACCAAGCCGACGAUCUGUAGCUGGUCGGAGAGGACGGCCAGCCACACAGGGACUGAGACACGGCCCAGGCUCCUACGGGAGGCAGCGGUGGGGAAUUGUGAACAAUGGGCGCAAGCCUGAUCCAGCAAUGCCGCGUGCAGGAUGAAGGCCUUCGGGUUGUAAACUGCUUUUGUACGGAACGAAACGGCGAGCUCUAAUACAGUUUGCUAAUGACGGUACCGUAAGAAUAAGCACCGGCUAACUACGUGCCAGCCGCCGCCGUAA